GUAACGGGGAAUCAGGGUUCGAUUCCGGAGAGGGAGCCUGAGAAACGGCUACCACAUCCAAGGAAGGCAGCAGGCGCGCAAAUUACCCACUCCCGGCACGGGGAGGUAGUGACGAAAAAUAACGAUACGGAACUCAUACGAGGCUCCGUAAUCGGAAUGAGUACACUUUAAAUCCUUUAACGAGGAUCUAUUGGAGGGCAAGUCUGGUGCCAGCAGCCGCGGUAAUUCCAGCUCCAAUAGCGUAUAUUAAAGUUGUUGUGGUUAAAAAGCUCGUAGUUGGAUCUCGGUUUCGGGUGAAUGGUGCACCUUGCGGUGUUUACUAUUUAUUCGGACGAUUUUGUUGGUUCGUUCCUGGUUCUCUUAAUCGAGUGCCUUGAGUGGCCAACACGUUUACUUUGAAAAAAUUGGAGUGCUCAAAGCAGGCGCUACAGCCUGAACAUUAGUGCAUGGAAUAAUGGAAUAGGAUCUCGGUUCUAUUUCGUUGGCUUUCGGAGUCGAGGUAAUGAUUAAUAGGGACAGACGGGGGCAUUCGUACUGCGACGUUAGAGGUGAAAUUCUUGGAUCGUCGCAAGACGAACUACUGCGAAAGCAUUUGCCAAGAAUGUUUUCAUUAAUCAGGAACGAAAGUUAGAGGUUCGAAGGCGAUCAGAUACCGCCCUAGUUCUAACCAUAAACGAUGUCGACCGGCAAUCUGCUCUCGUUAAAUUAAUGACUGAGCAGGCGGCCUGCUGGAAACAAGAGUAUUUGGAUUCCAGGGGGAGUAUGGUUGCAAAGCUGAAACUUAAAAGAAUUGACGGAAGGGCACCACCAGGAGUGGAGCCUGCGGCUUAAUUUGACCCAACACGGGAAAUCUCACCAGGCCCGGACACCGGAAGGAUUGACAGAUUGAGAGCUCUUUCUUGAUUCGGUGGGUGGUGGUGCAUGGCCGUUCUUAGUUGGUGGAGCGAUUUGUCUGGUUAAUUCCGAUAACGAACGAGACUCUGGCCUACUAAAUAGACGUCAAAUCUUUUAUAGGUUUGUCGUAUGCUUCUUAGAGGGACGGGCGGCGUUUAGCCGCACGAGAAUGAGCAAUAACAGGUCUGUGAUGCCCUUAGAUGUUCUGGGCCGCACGCGCGCUACACUGAAGAAAUCAGCGUGUGUUCCUCAUCCGAAAGGAUUGGGUAACCCGUUGAACCUUCUUCGUGAUGGGGAUUGGGGAUUGCAAUUAUUCCCCAUGAACGAGGAAUUCCCAGUAGGCGCGAGUCAUUAGCUUGCGUCGAUUACGUCCCUGCCCUUUGUACACACCGCCCGUCGCUACUACCGAUCGAGUGAUUUAGUGAGGACUCCGGACU
rnacentral:rRNA from 1 species